GACGAACGCUGGCGGCGUGCCUAAUACAUGCAAGUAGAACGCACAGUUUAUACCGUAGCUUGCUACACCAUAGACUGUGAGUUGCGAACGGGUGAGUAACGCGUAGGUAACCUGCCUGGUAGCGGGGGAUAACUAUUGGAAACGAUAGCUAAUACCGCAUAAUAUUAAUUAUUGCAUGAUAAUUAAUUGAAAGGUGCAAUUGCACCACUACCAGAUGGACCUGCGUUGUAUUAGCUAGUAGGUGAGGUAACGGCUCACCUAGGCGACGGUACAUAGCCGACCUGAGAGGGUGAUCGGCCACACUGGGACUGAGACACGGCCCAGACUCCUACGGGAGGCAGCAGUAGGGAAUCUUCGGCAAUGGACGAAAGUCUGACCGAGCAACGCCGCGUGAGUGAAGAAGGUUUUCGGAUCGUAAAGCUCUGUUGUAAGAGAAGAACGGGUGUGAGAGUGGAAAGUUCACACUGUGACGGUAUCUUACCAGAAAGGGACGGCUAACUACGU
rnacentral:rRNA from 1 species